AAUUCGAAUUCCAUUUAACGGAGUCGAGUCAAUGAGAGCGCGCAUCAAGUGUACGACGAAGAGAGGGAGAGACAAUGAAUAUAAUCAUUUACCGAGCACACACACAAUAAUGACUUAAAUGGUUUUGCGAUAAUUAUAGAUUUUUCGUUCAAAUGAUCAUUAAAAUGUAAUGAUUUUAUUGUACAUUAAGCAGCAAAACAACCGGCAACAGCGCGCCUUUAGGAGAACAACACAACAAAUAAGCGGCUAGACCCGGAUUUUUUGAUGAAAUUCGAUGUGAUUUUCAAGUCCAAUACAGCAGUAUACUCGCUUGGAAUACAGAACAACGACCACAACAAUAACUACAACACACUAUAUGAAGAAGCACCUAGCAGACAGCAGCUAUAGCUAGAGAAGACGAUUCAUGUAGUACGUCGUACACGGCGUUUUUCUCGUUUUAAAGCGGGCGGACGACGCGUAUACACUUGCCAGUCAGCAAACUAAAAACACAGCCUGGGAUUGAUGAUGAUACACAACUACUACAACUACCAACAAUGCUUGCUUGGGUGCAUCAACGACGUACAAAGAAAUGAAGAAGCGACGACGACGUGGUGUGUUACUUGGCUGGUUGGUGGAAAGAAGACACCCUAUUUGUAAAGUCAGCAGACAAUGAUGGGAAUCAUCCUCACUCGUUGUGUACGAAAUAAAAAUAAAUACACUCACACAAUGGUGGCGGCGGCGACAUUUAGCCGUUGACUUUUAUGAUUAUGAAAUUAGUUUUCAGAUUAUCGUUUUGUUUUUGU